rnacentral:rRNA from 1 species
UGUGGAGCACGCCGCGUGAGUGAAGAAGGGUUUCGGCUCGUAAAGCUCUGUUGUUAAAGAAGAACGUGGGUAAGAGUAACUGUUUACCCAGUGACGGUAUUUAACCAGAAAGCCACGGCUAACUACGUGCCAGCAGCCGCGGUAAUACGUAGGUGGCAAGCGUUAUCCGGAUUUAUUGGGCGUAAAGCGAGCGCAGGCGGUCUUUUAAGUCUAAUGUGAAAGCCUUCGGCUCAACCGAAGAAGUGCAUUGGAAACUGGGAGACUUGAGUGCAGAAGAGGACAGUGGAACUCCAUGUGUAGCGGUGAAAUGCGUAGAUAUAUGGAAGAACACCAGUGGCGAAGGCGGCUGUCUGGUCUGCAACUGACGCUGAGGCUCGAAAGCAUGGGUAGCGAACAGGAUUAGAUACCCUGGUAGUCCAUGCCGUAAACGAUGAUUACUAAGUGUUGGAGGGUUUCCGCCCUUCAGUGCUGCAGCUAACGCAUUAAGUAAUCCGCCUGGGGAGUACGACCGCAAGGUUGAAACUCAAAAGAAUUGACGGGGGCCCGCACAAGCGGUGGAGCAUGUGGUUUAAUUCGAAGCUACGCGAAGAACCUUACCAGGUCUUGACAUCUUCUGACAGUCUAAGAGAUUAGAGGUUCCCUUCGGGGACAGAAUGACAGGUGGUGCAUGGUUGUCGUCAGCUCGUGUCGUGAGAUGUUGGGUUAAGUCCCGCAACGAGCGCAACCCUUAUUACUAGUUGCCAGCAUUAAGUUGGGCACUCUAGUGAGACUGCCGGUGACAAACCGGAGGAAGGUGGGGACGACGUCAAAUCAUCAUGCCCCUUAUGACCUGGGCUACACACGUGCUACAAUGGAUGGUACAACGAGUCGCGAGACCGCGAGGUUAAGCUAAUCUCUUUAAAACCAUUCUCAGUUUCGGACU